GACGAACGCUGGCGGCGUGCUUAACACAUGCAAGUCGAACGGAAAGGCCCGGCUUUUGUGGGGUGCUCGAGUGGCGAACGGGUGAGUAACACGUGAGUAACCUGCCCUUGACUUUGGGAUAACUUCAGGAAACUGGGGCUAAUACCGGAUAGGAGCUCCCGCUGCAUGGGGGGGGUGGGAAAGUUUCGGCGGUUGGGGAUGGACCCGCGGCUUAUCAGCUUGUUGGUGGGGUAGUGGCUUACCAAGGCUUGGACGGGUAGCCGGCCUGAGAGGGUGACCGGCCACAUUGGGACUGAGAUACGGCCCAGACUCCUACGGGAGGCAGCAGUGGGGAAUAUUGCACAAUGGGCGGAAGCCUGAUGUAGCAACGCCGCGUGGGGGAUAACGGCCUUCGGGUUGUAAAGCGCUUUCGUUUGUGACGAAGCGUGAGUGACGGUAAUGGGUAAAGAAGCACCGGCUAACUACGUG
rnacentral:rRNA from 1 species